UACGUAGGUGGCAAGCGUUGUCCGGAUUUACUGGGCGUAAAGGGCGUGCAGGCGGUCUGUUAAGUCUAGGGUGAAAGCUCCCGGCUCAACUGGGAGAGGUCCUUGGAUACUGGCGGACUUGAGGGAGGCAGAGGAAAGUGGAAUUCCCGGUGUAGUGGUGAUAUGCGUAGAUAUCAGGAAGAACACCCGUGGCGAAGGCGGCUCUCUGGGACGGUACUGACGCUGAGACGCGAAAGCGUGGGGAGCGAACAGG
rnacentral:rRNA from 1 species